rnacentral:lncRNA from 1 species
AAGGGGAUGUGUAAGAGGUGGAUCAUCACUUGAUCAUAUAUUAUAUAACGUGUAAGUAAAUAUAACAGAGGUUCUAAUUCAUUUUUUAAAUAACAAACAACUCACAUUUACAAUUCUAGAACUAUACGUUAAUGUUUUAGUCUAAGGACUGUUUGUUAAUGAUUUAUAUUUACGGUUGAGCAAAAACGUUGAUGCAUUGGUUUGAUAAUGAUUUACAAUUACAAUAAUUAAGGAAGCAAAUAUUGGUUUGUAAACCAAACCGAAAUUGUAGGCGUGUAAACAGAAAUUUAGAGAAUGAUAUAAUAAGCCAUAUUAGUAGUAAUAAAUGAAUAAAUGAUAACUGAUUUCUAGUGAUGGUCCACUAAGUCCAU